UAUCAAUCAAUUAAGCAUUCCUCAUUGGCUUAAGUUAGCAGAUCCAAGAAUUUUUCUUUUUGCAAGAAACACAAUUGAGGCGGUUUCUCUGUUCGGACAGUCAAAUUUUAUUAAUAGUGACCUUAAUAGAACAAUGGCAAAGUGUUGAGAAAUUUAACUGAUAGACCAGAAAAUAGGUUCAUUAUUUUGGAAAAGAUGUAUAAAGGUACAACAGGCCUUCUGGAAACGCUGGUCAGUUAAGUAUUUGAAUGGAUCGCAGAAUCGCACGAAAGGUGUUCUGCUAUUAAUAAUAUAAAAGUAAACUCGGUUGUGUUAGUUAGACCAUAACUUACCGCCAUUCAAGUGGAACCAGGCACGUAUAUUAGGGCUGUUCCCAGGUAUUUUCUCCGGCCAAUUGUAAAAUUAUGUCUGUUGCCUUAUGAGGCUUAAUCGUAUUAGUUGAGGACGUUGCCUCAAGGGGGAGGGGAGAGAAUGUUGGAAUUUAAACAAAUUUUCUUUAACUUUCAAUAUUAAAUAUAAAAUAAAAACCAACUGAUAAUCUAAAAAAUGAUUAACCAUUUAUACAUAUAUUCCAGGAACUGAAAAAUCGUUUACGGUCGAAUUUACACUUUCCGUCCGUGCCACCCUUCGUUCGCUUCGUUUCGCUCGCAAUUAAUUGCAUUUUUAACAUUGCGCAACUAUGGAAAUUUGUUCUCCUGUUUUUCCCCUUUUUGGGAUUAUUACUUUAAUUCGUAAUUCAGAUUGUGUAAUUCUUCAAGGACUAUUUAGUUAAUAAAUGCAGAGGUAUUACUCCAGAAAGACUUUUGUUGAAAUAAGCUGUCAGAAAAUGGCAAUGACAAUAAUUUUUGUCCAAUUUUAAAACAAACUUCUUGACAUCCUAAUAGCAAAAUCAACAUAAAAAAUGGAUUUUGAGCAUGUGGGCUUUACCCAUAUAAUCCUGAUGCAGUCAAGUAAACCAAAUGUGUGCAAAAUGCACUAGAAAAUACAACAGAUGCAGGUCAAAGAAAACCCAGCCAUAACAUCAGAAGAAAUAACCAGCGCAACAAAAGUUACUUAUCUUAAAUCCGUUCUAAUAGAAAACAAUUUUAACCUGCUGAUGUUUCUAGUAAAUACUAUAAGCCCUAAAAAUAGCAGCAACAAUAAUACUGGCACUACAAUUUCAUCAGAAUUUGAAGUUAAAGAAGAUGGAUUUUUAUAUCCUGUACAACGCAGUCCCGCAACAGUGACGAAAUUGUACAUCCUAUGUAAAGAAGACCAAGUACUUUUUUGAAAGUCGAACAUCAAUGCUAAUAAAAAUUUGGAAAAUGCUGAAGAGACAGCAUCACAAUAAAGUCUAAUGAAAAUAAAAAAAGUCGAUGAAGCGAGAGAAGCAUACAGAAGGAAAAAGAAAAUAUAGCAUUAUUACCAGUUAAAUAAGAAUAAAAGUAAUUAAAUUAAUGUUUUUUUUUAUUAAAGACUAUUGAUUCCUAUUUUUAUAGUUUGU